rnacentral:rRNA from 1 species
GGAACGAACGCUGGCGGCAUGCCUAAUACAUGCAAGUCGAACGAGAUCUUCGGAUCUAGUGGCGCACGGGUGCGUAACGCGUGGGAAUCUACCCUUGGGUUCGGAAUAACAGUUGGAAACGACUGCUAAUACCGGAUGAUGACGAAAGUCCAAAGAUUUAUCGCCCAAGGAUGAGCCCGCGUAGGAUUAGCUAGUUGGUGAGGUAAAGGCUCACCAAGGCUACGAUCCUUAGCUGGUCUGAGAGGAUGAUCAGCCACACUGGGACUGAGACACGGCCCAGACUCCUACGGGAGGCAGCAGUAGGGAAUAUUGGACAAUGGGGGCAACCCUGAUCCAGCAAUGCCGCGUGAGUGAUGAAGGCCUUAGGUUGUAAAGGCUCUUUACCCGAGAUGAUAAUGACAGUAUCGGAGAAUAAGCUACCGGCUAACGUCCGUGCCAGCAGCCGC